UUACGGUCAAAUCACACUGAAAACACUUAUUCUAGUUUGGUCACCGAAGUUAAGCACUGUCGAGCCGGGUCAGUACUUAGUUGAGGGGCCCCUUGGCAACCUCGGGUGCUGUAAG